UUGGUGUCUGUAUCAGUUCGUCUCAGACGGAAUCUUCAAAGCCGAGCUGAAUGAGUUCCUGACUCGCGAGCUGGCUGAGGACGGUUACUCCGGAGUGGAGGUGCGAGUGACUCCAACCAGGACCGAGAUCAUCAUCCUGGCCACGAGGACUCAGAAUGUUCUUGGAGAGAAGGGUCGUCGGAUCAGAGAGCUGACCGCUGUGGUCCAGAAGAGGUUCGGC